rnacentral:rRNA from 1 species
AAAACAUGCAAGUCGAGCGGUAGCACAGAGAGCUUGCUCUCGGGUGACGAGCGGCGGACGGGUGAGUAAUGUCUGGGAAACUGCCUGAUGGAGGGGGAUAACUACUGGAAACGGUAGCUAAUACCGCAUAAUGUCGCAAGACCAAAGUGGGGGACCUUCGGGCCUCAUGCCAUCAGAUGUGCCCAGAUGGGAUUAGCUAGUAGGUGGGGUAACGGCUCACCUAGGCGACGAUCCCUAGCUGGUCUGAGAGGAUGACCAGCCACACUGGAACUGAGACACGGUCCAGACUCCUACGGGAGGCAGCAGUGGGGAAUAUUGCACAAUGGGCGCAAGCCUGAUGCAGCCAUGCCGCGUGUAUGAAGAAGGCCUUCGGGUUGUAAAGUACUUUCAGCGGGGAGGAAGGCGAUAAGGUUAAUAACCUUGUCGAUUGACGUUACCCGCAGAAGAAGCACCGGCUAACUCCGUGCCAGCAGCCGCGGUAAUACGGAGGGUGCAAGCGUUAAUCGGAAUUACUGGGCGUAAAGCGCACGCAGGCGGUCUGUCAAGUCGGAUGUGAAAUCCCCGGGCUCAACCUGGGAACUGCAUUCGAAACUGGCAGGCUAGAGUCUUGUAGAGGGGGGUAGAAUUCCAGGUGUAGCGGUGAAAUGCGUAGAGAUCUGGAGGAAUACCGGUGGCGAAGGCGGCCCCCUGGACAAAGACUGACGCUCAGGUGCGAAAGCGUGGGGAGCAAACAGGAUUAGAUACCCUGGUAGUCCACGCCGUAAACGAUGUCGAUUUGGAGGUUGUGCCCUUGAGGCGUGGCUUCCGGAGCUAACGCGUUAAAUCGACCGCCUGGGGAGUACGGCCGCAAGGUUAAAACUCAAAUGAAUUGACGGGGGCCCGCACAAGCGGUGGAGCAUGUGGUUUAAUUCGAUGCAACGCGAAGAACCUUACCUGGUCUUGACAUCCACAGAACUUACCAGAGAUGGCUUGGUGCCUUCGGGAACUGUGAGACAGGUGCUGCAUGGCUGUCGUCAGCUCGUGUUGUGAAAUGUUGGGUUAAGUCCCGCAACGAGCGCAACCCUUAUCCUUUGUUGCCAGCGGUUCGGCCGGGAACUCAAAGGAGACUGCCAGUGAUAAACUGGAGGAAGGUGGGGAUGACGUCAAGUCAUCAUGGCCCUUACGACCAGGGCUACACACGUGCUACAAUGGCAUAUACAAAGAGAAGCGACCUCGCGAGAGCAAGCGGACCUCAUAAAGUAUGUCGUAGUCCGGAUUGGAGUCUGCAACUCGACUCCAUGAAGUCGGAAUCGCUAGUAAUCGUAGAUCAGAAUGCUACGGUGAAUACGUUCCCGGGCCUUGUACACACCGCCCGUCACACCAUGGGAGUGGGUUGCAAAAGAAGUAGGUAGCUUAACCUUCGGGAGGGCGCUUACCACUUUGUGAUUCAUGACUGGGGGAAGUCUUAAC